rnacentral:lncRNA from 1 species
AAGUAACAAGUAAAGAGGGACAGCUGUGAAUAUCCAAUUUCGUCCGGGAUAUUUUUUAAAUUUUUUGAGUAAGUUCAAGGACUGGGUCACAAUUAAAAACACUCAGAAGACUAGGUAGUGAUCACCUUAAGACUCUUUAUUAACUCUAACCGUAAACCUAAGUCGGGCUAUAAAUAGCCCCGCUUGGUACUAACCCCUACUCAACAGCUUUAGUAACAAAAAAAACGGUACAGCUUUAUCUCAUUUUCAAAACACAUAGUGAGCAGCCUUCCUUUUUAAACAAAAAUUGAUUGCCCCAUCCCAAAACCAGAUUACAACUUGGGUUAUCCUUAAACACUAACCAAUAACUAUUAGAGUAUCUUGAGCAGCUUUUUUUACUGGCAAACCAAGAACGGAGGAGACGAGACUCUAUUAACCAAG